rnacentral:lncRNA from 1 species
GUGACUUUGGAGAGACUGUUCCAGAAAGCAGCGCUGGAUGCCAGUGUUGGAUUUCAGGUGGACAAGAAAUAGACUUCUAAUGUUGGAAGCUCGUCUCCUGCAAACUUUGAAGUUUGUCUCUUGCCAGAGCUAAUUUAAUUAUUCUCAGGAGUCUGAGGUUGACAAAUUCUGUAUGUAUAUUUUACAGAAUCUUCAAUUAGCUGUAUAUAAGUUUUAUAGAACCUUAAUUAUUGAUCUAGAAAUUGAUGUGAAUCCAGAACUGCAUAGAAUCCUGUAUGUACUUAGGAACCUUUAAGCAAAUGAAAAUUGUUCCUGUCUACGGAAGACAGGCAUUUCACGAUUUUCUUAGCUACAGCAAAUGUUGGCUGUGACUUUACUCUGGCAUCACACGUUGUCAAUACCAUCUCUGAAUCCUCUGAAAGGUGAAAAUCUUAGUGGAAAAUACUACUGGUCUUCGUGGAAAAUACUGUUGGCCUGUAGUUGGUCAAGGGGGUUAACCUUGGAAUUUGGGAUUUUAUUUAAAGCUUUUUGUUUGUUUGUUUUUUACCUGUGGUUUUAAAAAAAAAAGCUUAUCCCAUUUUAGGUUAUGUUGAAACAUGAGGACAUGUACAGAAAUAUUCUGAAUUCUAAGGGAAGUUCCACAUUAUAUAGUCUCGGCAUGUAACACAAUGAAAAAAGCCGUGGAUGAGAAGUCAGAGUAAAGAAUUUUCUAGAGAUGGACAUUUGGGAAGGAGGCAGUAUUUUUAGGAAAGCGUCAUCGAAUAAAUGCGUGAAUGACAAUGACAACAAAAGGCAAGAAGAGUGUAUGCCAUCUCGCCCUCCAGAGGAAGCACCAAGACAGAGAUGAAGAAGAGGCCAAGUGCUGGUAUAUUCGAAAAUGCUAUUUUAGACCACAUGUGAGCUGCUCACAAAGGAGGUGGCCUGAAACUCUCUUUCUACACCGUGAGAUUAUCACCUACGUCCAGAGGGAGUUUUGGGAGCAUCUUACGGGAAUGCGGUUUCUUUCUACGCUGUGAUGCAGAGUUACUAAAAGUGAA